UGCUGGGCUCAGCCCUGGGCACAGCUGGGCUGUCUCUGCCCUCACAUUGCUCUGACAGCUUUGCGUCAGACAAGCCCGUUCCGAGCACAGCGCCUGAGCUUUCUGCUUUGGCAGAGGUGCCACAAGUGGGCCAAAGCUGGCGAGUGGGCCGUGUCCCUGAGGCAGUGCAGUCUGGAGCUGAUGGAUGGAGAAUUGCCUUUCUGCACUCCCAAACCAGAGGAAAAAUCUAAAACAUGCUGUAAAAAAAGAGUGUCCUUUGCUCCUGGUUCCCAUGCGGAGCAGCUCCCUUCCUGCUGGCUGAGCUGCUCAGGCAGAGCCCGGCAGCUCCUGGCCCUGCAGGGCUGAGGCUUUUCCCCACUGCUGGGCACAGACUGAUGGAGCAGCACUGCUGAACACGGGCACACCCAGAGGGACCAAGAGCAGCUGCCUUUGCCCACCUGAGGCUCCAAGGCCCAAACUCUGAGCAGCCAGGGCUGGAAGAGACUCGCAGGCUCCCUGGUGGCUGUGCUGCCCCACUUGUGCCCGGCCCAGCUCUGCAUGAGGCAGAGGGAGAACAAGGGGCAGCUCCCUCUCAGCCCAGCCCAGGGACCCCUCCAGCCCCAGGGCUUGGGGCACUGUCAGCACCUGCUGCUCCAGCCACCACUCCUGCUGACCCUGACAGCAACACCCAAACUGGGGCUGAUCCCGAGGGAGCAGCAGCAGGGCCUGGAUCUGAUCCCUGACUCUGGGCCAGGGCUGGACAAAUGACCCCACAGCAGCAGCAGCACAUGGAGCUGACAUUCAGCACAGCCCCUGCCACUCUUCCCUCCUGUGUGCAGAAGUGUCACAGCAGCCUGAGGCACCUGGGAGCCCCCAGUGCCAGCAGGGACUUGAGAUGGCAGCCCUGGGCUCCUGGAGGUUGUGCAAGGAAUGCAGCUGGGGACUCCCUGUCCAUGGGGAGCUUCCAGAUGGAAAAGGCUGCUGUGUCCAGGCAUCUCCAAGGGCAGAGAAAGGAGCGUCUCGACCACUGGAUCUGUGCCAGUCCUACAGUCCUGGGCAGCAGCCACUGAGCCCUGGGGGAACAGAGGGCACAGCAAGAGGGACAAAGCCAGGCGAGGUCAGAGACUGGAGAGAGCCAGACCACGGAGCAGGAACAGCUGCUCCAUUGCACUCUUGGAGAAAGUUCUUGGCUGGUUUAAAGCACUGAAAAGCAUGAAGUGCAGAGAGGAGGCCACAGCAAACAAUGCUCCUAUUUCCACACCCUCUCCUCUCUGUGUCCCAGAAGAAACUGGACUGUAUUCAUCUCUCCGAGUUGUCUCAUUCAACAUGAGCAGCUUAGCACCAGGAGCUGAAGGAACUGUCACCACAGGCCACAGGAGCUGAGCAAGAGGGAACUUUUGGAGCAAAGUAAUGCUGCUCAAAUAGACCUAGCUGAAUGCAGCAGAUAUAGUAAUAGAAUCACAGCAUCCUUUCUGUUGGAAAAGACCUCUAAGCUCAUCCAGUCCAGCCGUUCACUCAGCAGUGCCAAGCCCAGCACUAAACCACGUCCCUGAAGUGCCAAGGCCUGAACAGCAGGCCCUGAGCCAAAGGUGACUUCUGGAUGAACCUUCCAACCAAAGGUUAUCUUUCUAUCUGCUCACUGAUGAAAUAUGCAUGGCCAUUAGCACUGUGAUAGAUGUAGCCACUCCUUAGUGACACAUGUAUUGAUCUUUUUGUAUUGGCAAGCCAGACAAGGCCAUGAAAUCUGACAUCUGGCCUUGUUUGGGGCUGAAGGAUCAAAGUCAGCUCCUUUGGUUCCUCCUUGAGCACUGGCCAGGCUUUGGGAGGGACCCAAGAGGAGGAUGAAACCAGAUGUUGCCACACUAGAAGUGCUGUCAGUUUGUUCAUUCAGCACUGUCAGAGCUGGGCCCUCUCACAGCGAGGUUGGAGCCUCAGCUGUAACUGGAGGCACCUGUAGGAAUUCCCAGUGUCCAGGCGUGGCUCUGCAGUCCUUGGCUAUGACAUCCCCCUGCUGCUGUGUGGAUCUGGGGGAUGGUGGAGUCUGAGGGACACUGGUGCUGGAUCUUUCUUAAUCACUGCUGCAAUCUUUGGUGCUGAUGAUUGGGUGCAUUGCUGAGCUGCUCCUUUUGUGAUUCUUUGCUGCUUUGAGCUGCAGUAAAUGACACUGAUUCCUUCAGUUGGAGUCUGUGUCUUUGGUGCUGACCCUGCCCACUGGUAAAACAAAACUGGCAGAGUCUGGCCAGAUCACAGCAAAAUGUCACUUGUUAAAUGUAAAUGUGAGGAAUCAGUGGCAUCAGAAAUUCCCAGAUGGGAAGCCCUUCCCUGGAGUUGGCUGGCUCUGGAGUGGGCUGAGGUCGCAGCACUGUGUGAGCACUGGGGCAGUUGGUUAAAAGAAGCUGAACCCCUGGAUGUCUUAAAAUGUAUCCAAAAAUUGCAUAUGGAAAAGGAAAAGAACUUGUGGGUUUGGGCAGACAAAGAUGAAUUUGUUAACAGUACAUUGAAAACAGCACCUUCAGAAGGAACAAUUCUUGUUGGAAUGCUCCCACAUGGAGCAAGAAGAAGGUUUUAAUCUUGAGCUCCGAUGCAUUUGUGCAAGUGAAAUAUUAAUAUCAUAAAUAACUAGGUACAUAUUUAUAGUAUAAUCAGGCCUUAAUAUAUAUUGAUAUAUAUAUAUAUUUAUAUGUAUGUCUAUACCUAUCUAGCUAUAUCUAUAUUUCUAUAUCAAUAUCUAUAUCUACGUAUAAAAUAGUAAUAAUGUGAAAUAGUGCUGACAAUACUAAUUUGGUAGCUUUGGCUGCUCAGGGAUGUAACACUAAAUACUCUACAGAAAAGGAUUGGCCAGGACCCUAAUGUCAGAGGUAAACUUUGUGAGAUUGUAUACAAUGAAAAAAGGAGGAGGGGAUGAAAUUGGCUAUUUUUACAGGGUUUGCUGAUGCUGUGAUUCAGAGUGCUUUGUCUGUUACUGUGGAAAAUACCGUGAUUAAGACUGCUGGGUUUUUCAUGUAACAGACUAUCCUCAAGCUGCAGGAUUUGUUGAACAGGUGAAGGGGUUGUUAAAAGAGCAGUUGAAAAAAUGAGGAGAUGGGAACCUGUCCCCAUGGAGAACCCAUCUCCCAGGUGUGCUCCAUACCCUUAACAAUGGCCCACUGGGGAAAUGGAAACCCCCUGGCUGUGCACAGCUGCACCCAAUUUGCAACUACAACCAUGAACAGUGAGGCUUGCACUGCCUGGGAAAUUGUUGUGGGUGUGAUGGCCCCUGGCAGGGCCAGCCCAGAGGCUGCAGGGCUGGACCUUCAUGCAUUGCCAUUAAUUAGGAUAAAUCCAAAGCAAAUGAAAGCUAUCUAUAGUGAGACAGGAAUUCUGAUUCCUCCAGGACUCUUUGGUUUGGUAACUGCUCAUUUGGAGCUUGGCCUUGCAAAAUGUUCAUGUCAUGGCAGGAGGAAAGGAGGAAUUGAUGCUGAAUAUAAAGGAGAAAUUACAAUAAUUCUGUUAAACAAUUGUCAAUAAGAUUGGGUUAUUCAACCCCAUGACAGGGUAGCACAAUUAUUGAUAUUGCAAUUUUAAGCACGAUUGUGAAAAAAGGAGAUCCACCUCCAGUCAUUACCAUUUGUGGAGAUAAAGGGUUUGGAUCCAGCAGUCCUAACAAUGGAGCCCAGUGUGUGGGCCCGGAGGCCAAAAGGCCCUCCUGAGGCAGCUGAAGGAACAGCUCCUAGGAAAGACAACAUUGAAUCCUGAAACCUGGGCAGGAACAAUGGGAAUAUGUCCCUGCAGCCAAGUAUUCUGUGUGAGAACAAGUAGGUAUUACAGGAUACUGUUUUACACAUCCUGCCAGACCAAAUCUCCUUGUUUGCCCCAAUGGCCCCUUUGAAAAAUGCUCUGAUCCACAGGGCUCCAUGUGAAAGCUGCUGUGGCACUGAGGGACUUGCAAACAAAUUCCAUCCAGGAGCCUGGGUGCCCUCAGGGACUGGGACCCAGCCCCCUUCCAGGCAAAGCGGAAAGGGCCCCACCAAGCCUUGGUAGCCACAGACAACAUGUAGAACUGAACAGCAAAGGACCCUGGGGGCAUUAUUCUGGAAUUAAAAAGGCACCACCUCCAUGGACAACACAAUUUUUGUUCCUAACUCAAAUGAGAUUGAACGAAAAGAACGAAGAACAGUGUCACUAAAGUACUAUUGAUGUCUGGAGGUUGUACCUUGAUAAUCAGCCAGAAUCUUUGUUUGCCACAAACACCUCCAGUGUUUCACCAAGGGAUUACUCAUCAAAAUUUAAUGAUUAGUUCUGAAAAUUUCAAGAUCAAGGUAGCCAAAGUACUCCAUGGCAGUAAUUGCUGGGUAUGUUCUCAGCUGAAGUUGGGAGGAAUGGGGCUCUCUUGGAGGGCCACCCUGUGUGCUGGCCAGAACUCUGUCCAUGGGCUCUGACUCGUAACUGUCAAUGAAGGGACAGUUCUAGAAAACACAGGAAUACAAUGAUCCAUUUGACAGGAUUCACUAGGAUUUCCCUUCAGGAGAAACCGAAGCUGGUUCUAGUUACAGAGGCCACAGUGUGAGAGGAUUUCUGUGCUUCACCAUUACUCCCAAUGUCAGUAGAGCUUGGGCUGCUGGAGCUGGUCAGUGUCAGUGUUACCCCACUCCUGGCUGCAGGGCCACCAUUUAACAUCCUUCAGCAACAACCACAAGGAAGACCUGGUGCCUAGAGAACAUUUUCCUCCCAAGGAGUGCCUUGGGUUUCAGAAAGCAAAAUAUUCUGGUUCAUCCUGUGCCCCAUGUGUGCUGCCCCGUACUGUGGAGAUGACUGGAUGGAUUAUUAGAAGUAGCAGAUAAUGCUGUUAAAAUGUCCAGUAGCACAUCCUAUGGGCUCCAACAAACAGAAAUGGGGACUCCACAGAACCGCAUGGCCUUGGAUUUUCUGCUUGCUGGCCAAGGAGGAGCCUGGGCUGUCAUGGGACAGGAAUGUUGCACUGCUCUCAGUGAUGGGUUUGAAGGCCAACAGUCAGCAAUCACCUUGACAGAAAGAGCAGGAGAAGAGUGGCAGAAAGAAGAAAAUUCUUCUUGGUGGGAUUGGCUUCAGGGCUGCCAAAUUGGAAUUUGGCUGUGAAAUGCAUUUGUGGCAGUGUCUGUCAUCAUUGCAGUGUGUGCACUUGGUGUGCACUCUGACAUUCCAUGUUCAAGUUGUUGUGACGCUUCGUGCUGGGAAGUGGAGUAUUGAGACUUGUCUUAAAAGAGACAGUCUCAAGAAAAGAGUGGCAUUUGAUAAUUAACAGAGAAUAACAGCAACUCCUUAGGCAUGUUUGAAAAGGAACGUGAAUAGCUCUGAGUAAUGAAAUUUAAACAGUACUUAAUUGAAGCACAAGGGGAGAUGCCUUUAUGUCUAAUAUCUAAAUCUAAACUGUGUUAUUGAAAGAAUUGUUAUGAAGGUUGUGGUUCAUUGUAGGUCUCAGGACCCAUCCAAGUAGCAAGGCCUGAACAGGCUGGGAUCAAGGCCUGAACAGGCCCAGAGGGAAAGUUCAUCUCUAGAUGAACCUUCCAAAUAAAUGUUAUAUUUGUAUCAACUCACUAACAAAGCAUUAUUAACAACAUGAUCAGUGGAUGUGUUCCUUGAUAAAACAUGGAUUUCUCUUUCUGAAUUCAGAAACCAGACAAGGCCCCAUCUGGCCUUGUUUGGGGGUGAAGGAUCAAAGUCAACUCUGUUGAUUCCCCCAGGAGUCCUGGCCAGGCUUUGGGAGAAACCAGUCAGGAGAAGGAAACUGCAUGUUCUCACACUAGCAGUGAUGUCAGCUUGUUUGUUUGACAGUGUAAAAACUGUGUCCUUUCACAGCAGGCUUGGAGCCUGGGUGCCUGCAAAGGUGGAGGCACCUGCAGGAAUUCCCAGUGUCUGGGAGUGGCUCUGCAGUCCUUGUCUGCCCCAGCUGAUGUGUGGAUCUGGGUUGUGGUAAAGUCUGAGGGUAACUGGUGAUGGAUCUUUCUUUAAUCACUGCAGGCAAUCUUUGGUAGUAAUGACUGGAUGGAUUGCUGAGCUUUUUUGUAAUUCUUUGCUAAUGAUUAUGUGCUUUGCUGAGCUUAUCCUUUUGUAAUUCUUUGCAGCUGUGCAUUAUAUAAAUUACAGGAUUCCUUAAG